GGAGACCGCUGUGCAAAUGUACUACUGCAUGCUCUUCACUGUCAGUUGCAAGAUGCUGGACAUGGCAGACCAAUGAUCUGUUCCAGCAAGCUUUACUUUCUUAUUUCCUCCUCAGAUCCCAGAUGAAAAAGGAAAUGCUGCUCUUUUCCCAGCUCUGUGACAAGCUACUACUGGGCCAGCUCCUGCUCUGCAGCUUAGAUGACGCAAUUGGUUUUCAAGGCCCUCUGCCCUCAGCCCUCAUACUACAGAAUUUCAUUUCAUAACAUUAACAAGGAGAUGGAGUCUAAACACAGCUGGGAGGGGGCUCCCUCUUCUCCCCUCUGCUCUGCUCUCGUGUGACACAGCCCACCUCUGGCAGAGCAGGAACUCUGGAACACAAAUAGCAAGGGGAAGGGGGCAUUUUUCAGUAGCUUUAAACAGAGAGAGACGAGGAUGAAUGGAACUGGAGUCAAAUGUUGCCCUAGGGACAAAGGAAGCUCAUACAGAUGGUGAUAUAAUGUUGAUCUAGUGUUCUCUACAGUGUGAGUAGUAUUUUACAUAGCUAUGACUAAAAACAGUUAGUUUUUCAUUAAUUAAUUUCUUAUGUUUAAAAAGCUCCUUAGGGAGCCCUGUGGAACACAAUACCUGUGCUUUUUCAGCUUGGUAUGACAUCUGACCUUAUGCAGAGGACUGUCACUGGAUAUUCCUAAACACACUUCUUCUCCAGCCAGAUGAGAUAGAGGCUAUUUCCUGUCAGCUCCUUGGUCUGUCAGCUUCCAAGUCAGCCACACCAAACUGGAGGACCAGGUGUCACGUUAAACCUAAGCAUCAGCCCCAUUUUAAAAUACCUGAGGCACGUACUGAGAGCAUGGAGGGGCUGCUUGUAAGCCAUUAGAAUCAGAGGAUGGGGAGCAGAGCCUAUGUAUAGGUUUCCCUUCUUGCACUCCUGCCUGGGAGGAGGUCAGCUUGUGGUACCUCCCCCCCAUGCACAUGCUCCUGUGCUGUCAUCCCUCAGCCUAAGAAAACAGCAUGAUAGCCCGAAUUUGUUGCACCAAAAGAGGAAGGUGAUACAGAGGUAUGAAGAGAAAACAUCUUUUUGUAGGCCACACCAACAUGAAAUCUGGGAUUGAAUUAAGGGAAACAAUAGGCCAUCGAAUGAAGCAAAUGAAGCUCCAAGAAAAAUUGAACUGAUUUAAUUUGUAACUGCUAUGGGGGCUGUUAGUUUUUGUUUUUUAUGUCUGCAUGGUCAUCCUAUACUGAAGUCUUCCUUCUCAGUGCUGUUUCAGAAAAAUAAUAAAGGAUCUAGCUAUGUAGUAAUCUCCUAAACC
ensembl:lncRNA